CUGAAACUGGCCUGUUUGGGAAACUAGGCUAUUAUUUCUCUCUCCUGAUUUCUUGGAAGGCAAGAUGACAGCUCAGAUUCAGUUUGUUCUGGAGGUCAGAAGUCAGACUCGGGCCUUAGUGAACUGAAAUCAAAGUACAGGCAGAACCGUGUGAUUACACUGGCCCCCCUGGAUAAGCCGGGCAAAUCUCCCUCGUUUAAGGAAGGUCGCCUUUCCCGUGUCUCUGAGAAGUCAGUGCCACCUCGGCCCACACAACCCAAGAGUCUCACCUCUCUGCCCUCCCAGCCAGCCCUCCCUUCCUGGGUACUUUGCUGGGACACAGGCCGAAUGCACCCAAAAAUGCAUCUGCAGCAACACACUCGAUAAGAAUAAGUUAGGAAGAGACACCAGCCAAGUGUGCUUUACAAUUCUGACAAGCAACAGAUAUAAAUUUGCUAAAAAGUCAAGGAUUCUGAUUUGGAAUUUCAAGGGACAUUUUUAUUAGUAACAAGAUGUUUGAAUAAUCCUGGAAUUUCACAGACUUUUCUGCAACCUCCUUGCAUAUCUCCGAGGAGCUAUCUGGCAGGAUGCACAAUGGGGCUGAUGAAUUAUAGAGGAACCUCACAGAUCAACCCUUAGAUGAGAAUUCUCCCCAUGGACUUGGCCUGUCACCAGUCCGUUGUCAUACUGCCUCAGAGGUCAUCAGUUGGAGAACAGAGCUGGAAAGCAUCUUUGCAAAAAUGUGAAACACGAAGGGCCCAUUAGACACGUACAUCGAGGAACAGGAUGUUUUAAUCACCUUGAUUCGCCAUUCACGUCUGAGCUCAGCUGGGAAUUAACCUGGAGCGUGUCACGUGCUGUCUGUGAUGGAUGAGGACAGAGGUCCUCCAACUUCCUUGUGUGUCUGCUUGUUCUGCUCCUUAUCUGAGGCUGUCCUGAAGGUUUUGAACCUUCUCACUUUCUGAGUGUAAGCAUCUCCUUUCCAACACAAGAAUAUAAAGCC